UUUGACAUAGCUCAGUUGGUAGAGCAUGAGACUCCUUAAUCUCAGGGUUGGGGGUUCAAGGCCCAUGUUGGGCAAAA